UACGUAGGGUGCGAGCGUUGUCCGGAAUUAUUGGGCGUAAAGAGCUCGUAGGCGGUAUGUCGCGUCUGCUGUGAAAGACCGGGGCUUAACUUCGGUUUUGCAGUGGAUACGGGCAUGCUUGAGGUAGGUAGGGGAGACUGGAAUUCCUGGUGUAGCGGUGAAAUGCGCAGAUAUCGGGAGGAACACCGAUGGCGAAGGCAGGUCUCUGGGCCACUACUGACGCUGAGAAGCGAAAGCAUGGGGAGCGAACAGGAUUAGAUACCCCU
rnacentral:rRNA from 1 species